rnacentral:rRNA from 1 species
UUGCACACGGGGGAAGUGACCAAAAAAAUCCAUACGGGGGUUCUGCUCUGUUAAUUGCAUGGGGGGGACCCUUCCCCUUGCCCGGGUUCCCCUUUGGGGGGCAAUUUGGGGCCCGCCGCCCCGGGAAAUUCCGGUUCCAAAGGGGAUAUUUAAACUUUUUCCGGUUAAAAACUUGUUAUUUUUUCUUUUUUUCCCGCUAUUGUGUUUUUCCUUGGGCGGACACCUCGUUACUUUGAGAAAAUUAGAGUGUUUCAAGCAGGUUUUGCCUGUAUAAUUGAGCAUGGAAUAACCUUGUAUGACCCUGUCGUACCGUUGGUUGCCUUGGGUAUGUGGUCAAGAGCCGAUAGGAUCAAGCCUCC